rnacentral:tRNA from 1 species
GAGGGUAUAGCUCAGUGGCAGAGUGUGUGCUUAGCAUGCACGAGGUCCCGGGUUCAAUCUCCAGUCCCUCU